UACGUAGGGUGCGAGCGUUGUCCGGAAUUAUUGGGCGUAAAGGGCUCGUAGGCGGUUUGUCGCGUCGGGAGUGAAAACUCAGGGCUUAACCCUGAGCCUGCUUCCGAUACGGGCAGACUAGAGGUAUGCAGGGGAGAACGGAAUUCCUGGUGUAGCGGUGGAAUGCGCAGAUAUCAGGAGGAACACCGGUGGCGAAGGCGGGUCUCUGGGCCGUUACUGACGCUGAGGAGCGAAAGCGUGGGGAGCGAACAGG
rnacentral:rRNA from 1 species